UUGUGGAGUCUACUAAGGGUUUCAUCCGCCC
rnacentral:piRNA from 1 species